rnacentral:rRNA from 1 species
UGUGCUAAAUACCGCAUAAUCUCUCAGGAGAAAAGCAGGGGAUCGCAAGACCUUGCGCUUUAGGAGCGGCCGAUGCCUGAUUAGCUUGUUGGUAAGGUAAAAGCUUACCAAGGCUUCGAUCAGUAGCUGGUCUGAGAGGACGACCAGCCACACUGGGACGGAGACACGGCCCAGACCCCUACGGGAGGCAGCAGUGGGGAAUUUUGGACAAUGGGGGAAACCCUGAUCCAGCCAUGCCGCGUGAGUGAAGAAGGCCUUCGGGUUGUAAAGCUCUUUCAGUCGGAACGAAACGGU